UAAUACAAAAACUAAAAACGGAAAAGAUAAAGAAACGUUCUUUUAAGGUUAUACACACAGAGAUAGAGUGGUUUUAAUAAGAGGAGCUUUGACCAAAAAGUUUAGGAGACAAUUAGAGGUUACAGAGUUGUGGUCUCAGAUGUUAUAUAUGUUAUAUUAUGACACUGACAUGGAAUUAACUUUCUUAUAGGACGGCUUAUUAAUUAGGUGUGUUCUCCUACGAUCCUUUUCUAAAUGUUGGUCCACUAUGCUUCCUACAUGGUUUACCACUUUAAUUCUUGCUCCUCCUUUUCCUUCCUCCAAUUACCUAUUGAAUUGUUACAUACACUUGUUCAACUCAAUGUGACUAACUUGUUGGUACUUCACUACUUUGAAUAAACCUUAUCUGCCCAAAGGAGAAUUAGAUAGAAUCCCGUCAACCACAAAAUCACUGGACCAAUCCAAUCCCAAUCCAAC
rnacentral:lncRNA from 1 species